rnacentral:lncRNA from 1 species
CACAAGUGAAACUCCACUUUAUUGAACGAUGGGGUCUCAAAUGGGCUGCCUCUUUGCCACUCUUUUGGUAGUAUCAGUCUCUCUUAGCUACUUGCCGAUAGAAGCCUCCGCAAACAAAUACUACUACACAUCUCCUCCCCCUCCCAAGUACAAGUCUCCACCACCACCCCCGCCACCGGUUCACAAUUCUCCACCACCACCCCCGGUUUACCUGCCCCCGCCACCUCCUCCACCAGUCUACGUGCCUGCUCCGGCACCAACUCCAAUUUUCCCUUCUCCGCCACCUCCUGUCCCCAAGUCCCCACCACCACCUCACCCUUACGUCUAUGCAUCUCCCCCUCCUCCUUACUACUACUAGAAAGCGGCCAUGAAUAGCUCAUGCUUUUAUGGUAAUCUCAUUUAUUUUUAAAACUGUACAUGUAAAGACUAGUAGUUCAGAAUUACAUUAAGCAUUUCAAUUUUAAGCACCGUGUUCUGUUUAAUUGCGUUCCUAUUGAUUAAGUGACAAAUAAAAGAGAUUGAUUAAUUUGUUCUUGUAGGAGAGGCGAAUGGUAUCCGAAUAAAGAAAGCAAGGGUUUGAUGGAAGGCUUACUUGGAGCAAGAUAGCGAUCAAUCGAGUUGCUGCGUUUUAUUCUCUUUUCUCUUUGUUUUUUAAGAAAAAUAAACUGCCACACGUAGAAACAGAAAAUUAAGUUCUUGUCAUUUUCAUGCAUGUGGAUUGUUGCUUUGUGUGUCAAUCAAAUCUCCGUUGUGUCAUUUGUAAUUUUCAACCUUUAUGCAUGCAAAUGCGAGACCUCUUACGUAUAAUAAAAUUAAUAUACUUCCCAAGAUGGUCUUAUCUUGCGUUGACUUUUUACGUUCCUUUGGUGAUGAUUUUAACGUUUGAAAUUGAUGAGUAUUGUUUUUGUAAACUCUGACAUGGAUUUUUCGUGCAACUAAAGAGCGCAUUAAUGAGAGACUUAUCCAUGAGGGUCCAUGCAUAUCAGUGUCUAAUUAACCAAUAAUUAAUAUAACUUAAAAAAUAUAGAGUUAACAAUUUUUAUGGGUCAGGCUCAAUUGCAGAUGUUCGUACAAAAUUUCUUGCUAAUGUAUACUUGAGUAUGAUAAUAAGUUUUAAUCAUUAUUAAUAAUUCACUUGACAAUAUUAAACAAAUUUUCAUAUCAAUUAAGUUACAAAAUUUCUGUGACAAAUUUCCACGUACUGGAACCAUGCAAAAGGACUUUAUUCAAACAAAGCUGCAUAGCCGUUGGCAAUUAAAAUUAUUUAUCAAUUAAGUUAAGUAGUAAGAAUUGGAUUGUGGAUUCCAUUAAUUAUUUCAAGGAAAAUUUUAUAGAUAAUGCCGUAAUGAAAUUUACGGCAUCAAUACCAUGAUAAAUAUAAAUAUUGUAAAUUACAAAGAGAAUUAGUAAAGGUAAAGUAAAACCAGUAAAUUCAUAAAAGAUUAUUAAUUAUUUAAAAAAUUAACAUUGUUUCUACAUAAUUUUAGUGAAAAAUAUUUUAUUCAUUUACAAAAACAUUUCUUUAAUUAAACAAAAAAAAUUCAUUAAUUAAGCAAAAAAAUUAUACUGAAAAAAAAAAGUGGAAUAAGUUUAAUUGAAUUGGUUAUCAUAAAUUCUAUAUUUAGUCUAGGACAUUUGUAUACAUUUUUUUUCCCAUUUUCGAUAAUGAUAUCUAUUUGUUACACAUGUUAAUUAAGUGCAAUUAUUUAUCUUGAUGUGGACCAAGUAAAAAAAAAAAAAAAAAAAGAGAUAUCAAUAAAAUUAGAUCUAGUUUUGAAUAUUAUGUAUACUUUAUGUAGUUUCAAACUUUUUACUUGUAUUUGGAGACCAUUUAAGGUUGUUGUUGAAGAAGUGUAGAAAGAUGUAAAAUAACUUCAUCUUACAACAACUAUGAAAGAUAUUAAAAUAAUAUUUUUUUCAAAAUCCGAUUUUGAGAAAAAAUUUCAUCCUUAAUUAAACAUCACAUGUAUUAUAGAAAUGAAAAACUACCAUUGUUAUAUUUAAAUUAAAAAAUAAUAAAUAUAUAAGGUAAUAAACAUUAUAACGAGUUUUUAUUUUAAAAUUGUAAACUUUUGUUUCUGACAAUAACUCUUAUAUUAAUUAAUUUAUUUUGCAUUUUAUUCAUAAGUUUUAUGCAUAAUCUACAAACUUUAUGUUUUAUUUUGCAUUUAAUGUUGAUUUGGUUUUUUUAUAUUAUACGUAUAAGUUUUCAUUUUAUUUACCAGUAAUACAUCAAUUUAUCAGUUUUAUUGUAAUUUACUUAUUUUACCUUCCUUUUACAAUUCUUAUGUUUCAUUUUCAAAAUUUAUGUUUUAUUUUACAGUUGUUGAUGAUUUACUAGUUUUAUGUUAUGUUUGCAAGUUUUUGUUUUGUUUACUAGUAAUAGAUUAAUGGGUAAUUUUUAAUUGAGUCCUCAUUAGUUCUAGAAAAAAAAUUCAGAGACCAGAAGUUUACUAAAUGAAUCAAUUAAAUUCUUUCAAGUACAAACUAAUGUCAUUCAAGUCCUUAACUUAAUUGCUCAGUUAAAAAUAUUAACAACAUUGAGGACAUUUUAGUAAAACCACAAUUGAGUCGUUUCUCAUUCUUUAUUUUUGACAGGUGGAAAUAGUUUAAAGUUAACUCAAUUAACCUGAUUAAGUUAAGGAUCAGUUCUUUCAAAAGAACAAAAAAAAGACCUACAGAAACUGCCAUAUUCUUCGUGUGAGAGGAGAGAUCGAGAGAACGUGGGAUGGUGCAAAAAAUGUUGUAUAAAUCUACUGUGAUUUUGACCAAAGCUUUGGUAGCAUUGAUUGAGUUCAAGUACUGGAGAGAACCUGAGUUUAAAGGUUAGUAACUCUAUUUUUUUAGUGAUUUCCGCAAGCAUUUUCUGAUAAAAAAAUUUUCCAUAUUGAGUGAUCGUUGUGAAAAAUUAAGUUUUUCAAGUCUAUUUUUGAAAAUGACAAACUAUGUUUAAUUAUUGGUGGAUUCUUUUUUUGUUCAAUAUUGUAUUUUGUUAAUUUGUUGUUUUUAAUUUGCUCUUUAUGUAAUUGUUAGACCAAAUACACCAUUAUUAUACUUGUAUUCAUUUCAACAAUUUGGUAUCAUUAUAUUAAUAAGAUUGAAUUCAUUGUAUUUGCUUCUUUGUUCAUGUAAAAUUGAAUUCUAUGUAUUCUUAUGAGUGAUAAUUUUUCUAUCUAUUAGACUAAAUUCACUAUAUUCACUACUUUCUUUCUUUUUGCUGGGCUAUUUUUUCUUUUUAGUUUAUAUUUUUUAUAUGUAUUAGAUUGAAUUUGCUUUUGUAUGUUUUUUUCGCCAAAUUGCAUGUAUAUUUCAUUUAGGUUGAGUUUUUUUUGUUGUUUGCUAAAUAAAAGUAUAUUGGUUUAUCCUUUUUUGAGGCAAUACUUUUGUUUAAAAUUAAUACAGGUAGCCAUGUUACCUUUUUUUCGGUUAAAAUUAAUGGGGUGAUGUAUGCGAUAGGAUAUAGGGAACCAGAGGAAUAUAAGAUUAUUAGGCUGUUUCUUGAAAUUCAAGAUGUCAUGGUUAAGCAUGGACACAUUGAAAUGGAUUUGAUUGAAAUUUUUGUUGUAUUGCCAUGGACUACAAGUAGGCAGAGGAAGCUAAUUUCAAACGAUAGUGAAUUGUAUUGGGUUUUCGAGGAGUUUUUUUUAUCAAUAGUUGUCCUGUCAUUGAGUUUGAGGUGCACACUGGGUCAGGUGGUCAGUCAUUUCAUGAAAGUGUUGUAAUAGGACCUGAAAAUCCUGUCAAUAUUAAAAAUUAGCGUUGUAAUAGUGAUAAGUUUGAAAAUCCUGUGGCUAAAAAGGGUUUGCCUAGAAUAAUUGGUUCUUCUUUAUUUGCCUCAAAGUCCAACACUAUGAAAUCCACUAGGAAAAAGAAUUUUAUCCACUUUAACCAGCACGUCUUCAAUCUUACCUUCAGGAUAAGCAUGAGAUCUAGCAGCACAUUGCAAUGUCACUGUGGCUGGUCUGACUUCUCCAACUCCCAAUUGCUUGAAUUCUAAUAAUGUCAUAAGAUUGAUGCUUGGUCCCAAAUAGGGAUGACAAUUGUACCCGCAAACCCCGCCAAACCCACCUGCCAAAACCCGCCCGUUGCGGGUAAUUUUACCCAUUGCGGGCGGGUUUUAGUAUUAUAAAUUAAACCCGCGCAUGGAUGUGGGGUGGGUUUUGGUAUUAACCUUAUAAUCCGGUGGAUACCCGCAUGGAUAUCCACCAAACCCGCAAUAUUUUUUUUCAAAUAUUUUUAAUUUAAUUUAAAUAUAAAAAUGUAUAAAGAAAAUAAUGUCAUUAAUCAAAUUACCAAAUAGACAAAGGCUCAAAGUUGUGUAUGUGUGUAUGUGGCCCAUCUCUUAUUCUAAAGUCAUAACCUAAAGAAAACUAAAGGCAUUUCCCUUCGAAUUAGUAUUUGAAAAAUAUUAAUCUUAAUUAUUAUUAUAGGCAUUGUGUUGGAUGGGUGCUUAUGGUGGUGAAAUGAAAUGAAUAUCUUCUCUUGGAUCUUGUUUUAAAAUGAUAAUAUGAAAUGUAAUUAUUAUUUUUAGAUACUAGUUUGUGUUUUUAAAAUGGAUUUGUGUAAUUUAUACUUAAAUUUGAGAAUUUGUAUUGAAUUGAUGUGGAAAUUUUAAUUUUUCAUUGACAUUGUUUAAAUAUAAAAUUGAGUAUGCUAUUUGGAAUUUGAGGUUAUUAUUAUAAAUUUAUAUAUUAAAUAUUUGUGAUUUUAAAUACGAAAACCCGCAAAAAUCUGCCGGAUACUAUUGCGGGUUGGUAAUUAUUAAAACCCGCUGCGGGUGGGUUUUAAAAAAAAAUUAAAACCCGCGGCGGGUUGCGGGUGGGUUUGGUAAUUUAAAUUUUGUGCGGGUUUGGGUUUGAUAAUGGCAAAUCCGCUGCGGGCGGUGCCCAUUGCCAUCCCUAGUCCCAAAUCACAAAGUGUCUUGCCACUGUAUUUAGUUCCUAUGGAACAACGAAUUGUGAAACUUCCUGGAUCAUUCAACUUCUGAGGCAUUUUACUCUGAAGCAUAUGGCUGAAUUCUUGUGUUAGACCAACUAUUUCAAAUUCUCCGAGCCUCAUUUUCCUUGCCAAUAUACAUUUCCAAAACUUUACAUAAUUUGGCAUUUGUUCUAAUGCUUCCACAAAAGGAAUGUUGAUAUGCAGUUAUUUCAAUACUUCCAAGAAUUUACUGAACUGCUUGUCUUGCUUUCGCUUUUGAAAUCUUCGUGGGAAGGAUGGUGAUGUGUAAAUUGUUGUACUGCAGCAGACUAUACAUAUUGCUUUUCUCUUGCUCUAUUAUGGUAUGUUAUUGUUGGUGCUGCAGCUUCUUCCUCAACAAGCACUGAAUCAUGUUUUUUUUGCAGUUGCUAUAACUUAGCAACUCUCACCAGUGUGCUGGAAAAUGGGUUGUUGUGUCUCUUCUUUAAUUUGAGUUUCCCCUUGGGUUGAAUUAGGUUCCACUCUUCUUUUUAGUACUUUAACAAGUAUAUGAACAUCCUUUCCAGACCUUAAGUUAAUCCCCUUACAAUGCUCUUUUCCUUCUCUUUCGAUCCUCUGUAUUGUUUAGUAAAUUGUCCUAAGGUAUGUUGCUCAAUGUUGUAGCAAGCUGUCCAAUCUUAUUCUCCAAGUUUCUUAAAAAUACAGCUUGGCUUUAGACCACUACUUCAAUCUUCACAAUAUACUCCUUAAUCAGAGUUUCAAUGGAACUAAAUUGAUCAUUACUGGUGUUUCUUUACCCUUAAAAUUUCUGGUGAAAAUCAGGUGGCUGAGCAAGUCAGUUCUGUCCACUGGAUGCUGCAGCAUGCUGAUUCUGAUUGCUCCUUUUAAAAUUUGGGUGAUGUCUCCAUCCUAGGUUAUAGGUGUUUGAAAAUGGAUUGCUUUGAUUUUGUUUAUUAAAAUUGCCCACAUAAUUGACGGAAGCUGAAUUCCUAGGACAAUUAUCAUAUAGAUGUCCCUCUCCAUAAUAAACACAAGAGACUUCAGCAAUUUGGUUAACUGUUGUUGGAGCAGUGGCCGUUGCUUUUACCAUAUUUUGUCAAUGAGGUUACUUGGGCUGAUAAUGUUGUCAGUGCAUCCACAUUGUGUACUCCUGCUGCUCCUCUCACUAUGGCUUGUCUAGUUGAUGGCCAUUGAUAGUUAUCCUUUCUAAAAUUUCAUAAGCCUCAUUAUAUGAGUUAGACAAUAAAGCCCCUAGUUAUUGAGUUCAACCCAUUGUAGAAAGUUUCCAAUUGUAUGCAAUAAGGAAUACCAUGAUGAGGGCAUCUCCUGAGUAACUCCUUGAAUCUUUCUCAUGCAUCAUACAAGCUUUCAUCUUCAAGUUGAUGGAAAGAUGUGAUCUCAUUCUUCAACUUUGCAUUCUUUGUUGGUGGGAAAUAUUUCAUCAAAAUUUUGUCAGCCAAAUAAUUUCAUGUGGUGAUGGAGUCUGGUUGUAAAGAACUCCACUGUACCAACUAAAAUUGAUUUCACAAAACACAAUAAGCACCAAUCCCUGGCAACGGCGCAAAAAACUUGUUGUCGAUUUUCUAAUGCUAUUAGUGUCAAUGUGAAAAUGUACACAACAAGUAAUAUAACGAUAAGUAUUCACUCCACAAGGAUUAUUAUUAGGAAUUGCUACAGUAAUUCUAUCAGUGCCAUUCUUAUUAUAAAUUAGAAUUUAAACAAAUUAUUCAACUAANAGAAAAUCUAGAUUUUAGUAAGGAAUAUCAAGUUAUUUAUACAAUGAAAAUUGUUAAAACUCGAUUAAUUGCAAGGAAACACUUUUAGAGAGAUAUGGAGAGAAUAAACUUUGAAGAUAACAAUGAAAUACAUGACACAUUUAAGGAAGAAAAUAUAAUAGUAUUAAUAGAAUCUAUUUUAACCGGUCUUAAGAUAAUUCAAGAUUGAUGCAAAAUAAAUAACAGGACUCUAAACCGUCCAUAAUAAGUCUAUUGAUUAAUAAUAACAAUAAUAGUGAUGUGAAAUUUUUAUUCAGAAUGCUCAAUUUAGAUUAUAAUAUCUAUGUGAAAGCAUUGAUGGCAUGUACCUUGGUUAGGAAAAUAGAUUGGACACAUGGAUAUAUAUGUUGGAAGAACAAAUCUAGUUUAUAUCUCAAGAGAGAUAAUAAAUUAUAAAUGACGGUGCUAUAGUAUAUUCAGAUUUUAUAAAUCUUAUAAAUUUAAUAAUCAUUUAGAUCUUCAUAAUAUUAUAAUAAAACUUUAAAAAACUUUAAAAAUAUAUGUAGAAGAGAUGGAAGAAGAAAUCAUCCAAUUAUUCAAAAUCAAUUAAACAAAAAUAGAAGGUAAAAUCCUUGAAUUAUAUAAAUUAUACAAUUUCACAGAAAUUUGCAUAUAUUGCGAAACGGUCCUUGUGGCACUAAUUAUGGGACUAGUGUAGCAUAAAUACUAAUAUUGCUUUUUAUUUUGUAAAUUAAUUGUUGCGUCAUAAUUUUUUUACAUACACAUUUUAUGUUUUAAAUAUGAUUUUUUUUUUGUAUUUAGGGUUAAUUUACAAUUUCAUACUUUGUUCAAUUAUAUGUACAGGUCCUUCACGUGUUGGUUGAUGUUGAAUAUUCAAAGAUCCACAAGCUAUCAACGACAACGAAUCAAAUUAAACUAAUUAGUUAAUACAUAAUGACUGGGUUGUUUCCUAUGUUGUUAAUGAUGUAUAACGUUAUUUUAGGAUUUUAGAAUUUUAAUUUUUAGGUCUUCUGAUAUUUUCUUUUUUAAUUAAAUUAGUGUCUUAGUUUUUUAUUUAUUUAUGUUAUAAUUAUAAUUUACUUUCUCUUUUUAAGUUAACUUAGGAAAAUAUAUUUACUGUAUUAUAAAUAAAGAGAUCUUGUUAUUACUUUAUAACUUCAACUUCAGUUAUUCAAUUAAAACCCCUCUUUUAUAAUUUCCUUUUGUAUUAUCUAUUUAAAACCCUCUUUUUAAAGUUGUUUGAUUAGAGCAUCAUCUAGCCUUGCUUAACGCAGUAUAAAAAAUCCCUUUGAGUUUAAUCACACGUCGAUUAGAGCGUAACUUAAUCGCAUUGACUUGGUCCAUGACUUGAACGAUAUCUAGUGUUUUGCUUCCGCUAUGCCCAAGGAGAAAAUUAAUUUCACCGUGAGAUAAGAGCAUUAAAAGGAAUUCAUAAGAAAUUUAAAUUAAAGCUAUAUAUGUUAAAUAUAUCGCUAGCUACUUGUUUUUGGAGGAAUUAAAACAAUUAAUAAGCUGCGAAGUGAAAAUGAAUAAAUAAAUGAAAUGAGGUUGAAAAUAAGUCUCGCCGCCUGGAUCCAAGGCCAAAACAUUCAUGAUAAGUUAGGUAAUUAAGUACAUGUUUUCAAGCUCUUCAUGAAGAAUAACGUUAUUGAAAUAAAUCACAAAGACUCCCUGCGCAAAUUAUUACAUUGAUUAAAAAAAAAAGCCAUAUCUUUAACAGGAUCGUGACUCUCGGACUGUUAAUUACUUUAUUCCCUGCUUGGCCAACAGCUGGCCACUAAACAAAAUCAUAAAAAUUUUAAAUUUAGUCAAAUUGGUCCCACUUGAUGACAUCCUUUUCAUACAUAAAAUUGUUAACGUCAAGGUUAAAUAUGAGAAGUUUGGUAGAGAAGGUAAAAAGGAAGUCUAUAUAAGGAGGGGAACGAGCUUUGUUUAUAGCACAAGUGAAACUCCACUUUAUUGAACGAUGGGGUCUCAAAUGGGCUGCCUCUUUGCCACUCUUUUGGUAGUAUCAGUCUCUCUUAGCUACUUGCCGUUAGAAGCCUCCGCAAACAAAUACUACUACACAUCUCCUCCCCCUCCCAAGUACAAGUCUCCACCACCACCCCGCCACCGGUUCACAAUUCUCCACCACCACCCCCGGUUUACCUGCCCCCGCCACCUCCUCCACCAGUCUACGUGCCUGCUCCGGCACCAACUCCAAUUUUCCCUUCUCCGCCACCUCCUGUCCCCAAGUCCCCACCACCACCUCACCCUUACGUCUAUGCAUCUCCCCCUCCUCCUUACUACUACUAGAAAGCGGCCAUGAAUAGCUCAUGCUUUUAUGGUAAUCUCAUUUAUUUUUAAAACUGUACAUGUAAAGACUAGUAGUUCAGAAUUACAUUAAGCAUUUCAAUUUUUAAGCACCGUGUUCUGUUUAAUUGCGUUCCUAUUGAUUAAGUGACAAAUAAAAGAGAUUGAUUAAUUUGUUCUUGUAGGAGAGGCGAAUGGUAUCCGAAUAAGAAAGCAAGGGUUUGAUGGAAGGCUUUACUUGGAGCAAGAUAGCGAUCAAUCGAGUUGCUGCGUUUUAUUCUCUUUUAUCUUUGUUUUUUAAGAAAAUAAACUGCCACACGUAGAAACAGAAAAUUAAGUUCUUGUCAUUUUCAUGCAUAUGGAUUGUUGCUGUGUGUGUCAAUCAAAUCUCCGUUGUGUCAUUUGUAAUUUUCAACCUUUAUGCAUGCAAAUGCGAGACCUCUUACGUAUAAUAAAAUUAAUAUACUUCCCAAGAUGGUCUUAUCUUGCGUUGACUUUUUACGUUCCUUUUGUGAUGAUUUUGACGUUUGAAAUUGAUGACUAAUUGACUAUUGUUUUUGUAAACUCUGACAUGGAUUUUUUCGUGCAACUACAGAGCGCAUUAACGAGAGACUUAUCCAUGAGGGUCCAUGCAGAUCAGUGUCUAAUUAACCAAUAAUUAAUAUAACUAAAAAAAUAUAGAGUUAACUUUUUUAUGGGUCAGGCUCAAUUGCAGAUGUUCGUACAAAAUUUCUUGCUAAUGUAUACUUGAGUAUGAUAAUAAGUUUUAAUCAUUAUUAAUAAUUCACUUGAUAAUAUUAAACAAAUUUUCAUAUCAAUUAAGUUACAAAAUUUCUGUGACAAAUUUCCGCGUACUGGAACCAUGCAAAAGGGCUUUAUUCAAACAAAACUGCAUAGCCGUUUGGCAAUUAAAAUUAUUUAUCAAUUAAGUUAAGUAGUAAGAAUUGGAUUGUGGAUUCCAUUAAUUAUUUCAAGGAAAAUUUUAUAGAUAAUGCCGUAAUGAAAUUUACGGCAUCAAUACCAUGAUAAAUAUAAAUAUUGUAAAUUACAAAUAGAAUUAGUAAAUGUAAAGUAAACCAGUAAAUUCAUAAAAGAUUAUUAAUUAUUUAAAAAAUUAACAUUGUUUCUACAUAAUUUUAGUGAAAAAUAUUUUAUUCAUUUACAAAAACAUUUCUUUAAUUAAACAAAAAAAUUCAUUAAUUAAGCAAAAAAAUUAUACUGAAAAAAAAGUGGAAUAAGUUUAAUUGAAUUGGUUAUCAUAAAUUCUAUAUUUAGUCUAGGACAUUUUUAUACAUUUUCUUCCCAUUUUCGAUAAUGAUAUCUAUUUGUUACACAUGUUAAUUAAGUGCAAUUAUUUAUCUUGAUGUGGAUCAAGUAAAAAAAUAUCAUAAAUAAGAUAUCAAUAAAAUUAGAUCUAAUUUUGAAUAUUAUGUAUACUUUAUGUAGUUUCAAACUUUUUACUUGUAUUUGGAGACCAUUUAAGGUUGUUGUUGAAGAAGUGUAGAAAGAUGUAAAAUAACUUCAUCUUACAACAACUAUGAAAGAUAUUAAAAUAAUAAUUUUUUCAAAAUCCGAUUUUGAGAAAAAAAUUCAUCCUUAAUUAAACAUCACAUGUAUUAUAGAAAUGCAAAACUACCAUUGUUAUAUUUAACUUAAAAAAUAAAAAUAUAUAAGGUAAUAAACAUUAUAAAGAGUUUUUAUUUUAAAAUUGUAAACUUUUGUUUCUGACAAUAACUCUUAUAUUAAUUUAUUUAUUUUGCCUUUUAUUCAUAAGUUUUAUGCAUAAUUUACAAACUUUAAGUUUUAUUUUGCAUUUUAUGUUGAUUUGGUUUUUUUAUAUUAUACGUACAAGUUUUUUUUUAUUUACCAGUAAUACAUCAAUUUAUCAGCUUGAUAGUAAUUUACUUAUUUUACCUUCCUUUUACAAUUCUUAUGUUUCAUUUCCAAAAUUUAUGUUUUAUUUUACAGUUGUUGAUGAUUUACUAGUUUUAUGUUAUGUUUGCAAGUUUUUGUUUUGUUUACUAGUAAUAGAUUAAUGGGUAAUUUUUAAUUGAGUCCUCAUUAGUUCUAGAAAAACAAUUCAGAGACCAGAAGUUUACUAAAUGAAUCAAUUAAAUUCUUUCAAGUACAAACUAAUGUCAUUCAAGUCCUUAACUUAAUUGGUCAGUUAAAAAUAUUAACAACGUUGAGGACAUUUUAGUAAAACAACAAUUGAGUCGUUUCUCAUUCUUUAUUUUUGACAGGUGGAAAUAGUUUAAAGUAAACUCACUUAACCUGAUUAAGUUAAGGAUCAGUUCUUUCAAAUGAAAAAAAAAAAAAAAACCUACAGAAACUGCCAUAUUCUUCGUGUGGGAGGAGAGAUCGAGAGAACGUGGGAUGGUGCAAAAAAUGUUGUAUAAAUCUACUGUGAUUUUGACCAAAGCUUUGGUAGCAUUGAUUGAGUUCAAGUACUGGAGAGAACCUGAGUUUAAAGGUUAGUAACUCUAUUUUUUUAGUGAUUUCUGCAAGCAUUUUCUGAUAAAAAAUUUUCCGUAUUGAGUGAUCGUUGUGAAAAAUUAAGUUUUUCAAGUCUAUUUUACAAAAUGACAAACUAUGUUUAAUUAUUGGUGGAUUCUUUUUUUUGUUCAAUGUUGUAUUUUGUUAAUUUGUUGUUUUUAAUUUGCUCUUAAUGUAAUUGUUAGACCAAAUACACCAUUAUUAUACCUGUAUUCAUUUCAACAAUUUGGUAUCGUUAUAUUAAUAAGAUUGAAUUCAUUGUAUUUGCUUCUUUGUUCAUGUAAAAUUGAAUUCUAUGUAUUCUUAUGAGUGAUAAUUUUUCUAUCUAUUAGACUAAAUUCACUAUAUUCACUACUUUCUUUCUUUUUGCUGGGCUAUUUUUUCUUUUUAGUUAUAUUUUUUAUAUGUAUUAGAUUGAAUUUGCUUUUGUACGUUUUUUUAGCCGAAUUACAUGUAUAUUUCAUUUAGGUUGAGUUUUUUUUGUUGUUUGCUAAAUAAAAUUAUAUUGGUUUAUCCCUUUUUUAUGCAAUACUUUUUGUUUAAAAUUAAUACAGUUAGCCAUGUUACCUUUUUUUUCGGUUAAAAUUAAUGGGGUGAUGUAGGCGAUAGGAUAUAGGGAACCAGAGGAAUAUAAGAUUAUUAGGCUGUUUCUUGAAAUUCAAGAUGUCAUGGUUAAGCAUGGACACAGUGAAAUGGAUUUGAUUGAAAUUUUUGUUGUAUUGCCAUGGACUACAAGUGGCCAGAGGAAGCUAAUUUCAAACGAUAGUGAAUUGUAUUGGGUUUUCGAGGAGUUUUUUUUAAUCAAUAGUUGUCCUGUCAUUGAGUUUGAGGUGCACACUGGGUCAGGUGGUCAGUCAUUUCAUGAAAGUGUUGUAAUAGGACCUGAAAAUCCUGUCAAUAUUAAAAAUUAGUGUUGUAAUAGUGAUAAGUUUGAAAAUGUUGUGGCUAAAAAGGUCUGCCUAGAAUAAUUGGUACUUCUUUAUUUGCCUCAAAGUCCAACACUAUGAAAUCCACAAGGAAAAAGAAUUUAUCCACUUUAACCAGCACGUCUUCAAUCUUGCCUUCAGGAUAAGCAUGAGAUCUGGCAGCACAUUGCAAUGUCACUGUGGUUGGUUUGACUUCUCCAACUCCCAAUUGCUUGAAUUCUGAUAAUGUCAUAAGAUUGAUGCUUGCUCCCAAACCACAAAGUGUCUUGCCACUGUAUUUAGUUCCUAUGGAACAAUGAAUUGUGAAACUUCCUGGAUCCUUCAACUUCUGAGGCAUUUUACUCUGAAGCAUAUGGCUGCAUUCUUGUGUUAGACCAACUAUUUCAAAUUCUCCGAGCCUCAUUUUCCUUGCCAAUAUACAUUUCCAAAACUUUACAUAAUUUGGCAUUUGUUCUAAUGCUUCCACAAAAGAAAUGUUGAUAUGCAGUUCUUUCCAUACUUCCAAGAAUUUACUGAACUGCAUGUCUUGCUUUCGCUUUUGAAAUCUUGUGGGAAGGGUGGUGGAAUGUGUAAAUUGUUGUACUGCAGCAGACUAUACAUAUUGCUUUUCUCUUGCUCUAUUAUGGUAUGUUAUUAUUGGUGUUGCAGCUUCUUCUCAACAAGCAUUGAAUCAUGUUUUUUGCAGUUGCUAUAACUUAGCAACUUCUCACCAGUGUGCUGGAAAAUGGGUUGUUGUGUCUCUUCUUUAAUUUGAGUUUCCCCUUGGUUGAAUUAGGUUCCACUCUUCUUUUGGUACUUUAACAAGUAUAUGAACAUCCUUUCCAAACCUUAAGUUAAUCCCUUACAAUGCUCUUUUCCUUCUCUCUUUCGAUCCUCUGUAUUGUUUAGUAAAUUGUCCUGAGGUAUGUUGCUCAAUUUUGUAGCAAGCUGUCCAAUCUUAUUCUCCAAGUUUCUUAAAAAUACAGCUUGGCUUUAGGACCACUACUCCAAUCUUUACAAUAUACUCCUUAAUCAGAGUUUCAAUGGAACUAAAUUGAUCAUUACUGGUGUUUCUUUACCCUUCAAAUUUCUGUUGAAAUCAGGUGGCUGAGCAGUCUGUUCUGUCCACUGGAUGCUGCAGCAUGCUGAUUCUGAUUGCUCCUUUUUAAAAUUUGGGUGAUGUCUCCAUCCUAGGUUAUAGGUGUUUUGAAAAUGGAUUGCUUUGAUUUUGUUUAUUAAAUUGCCCACAUAAUUGACGGAAGCUGAAUUCCUAGGACAAUUAUGAUAUAGAUGUCCCUCUCCAUAAUAAACACAGAGACUUCAGCAAUUUGGUUAACUGUUGCCGGAGCAGUGGCCGUUGCUUUUACCAUAUUUUGUCAAUGAGGUUACUUGGGCUGAUAAUGUUGUCAGUGCAUCCACAUUUGUGUACUCCUGCUGCUCCUCUCACUGUGGCUUGUCUAGUUGAUGGCCAUUGAUAGUUAUCCUUUUCUAAAAUUUCAUAAGCCUCAUUAUAUGAGUUAGACAAUAAAGCCCCUAGUUAUUGAGUUCAACCCAUUGUAGAAAGUUUCCAAUUGUAUGCAAUAAGGGAAUACCAUGAUGAGGGCAUCUCCUGAGUAACCCUUGAAUCUUUUCUCAUGCAUCAUACAAGCUUUCAUCUUCAAGUUGAUGGAAAGAUGUGAUCUCAUUCUUCAACUUUGCAUUCUUUGUUGGUGGGAAAUAUUUCAUCAAAAGUUUGUCAGCCAAAUAAUUCCAUGUGGUGAUGGAGUCUGGUUGCAAAGAACUCCACUGUACCAACUAAAAUUGAUUUUCACAAAACACAAUAAGCACCAAUCCCCGGCAACGGCGCAAAAAACUUGUUGUCGAUUUUCUAAUGCUAUUAGUGUCAAUGUGAAAAUGUACACAACAAGUAAUAUAACGAUAGUAUUCACUCCACAAGGAUUAUUAUUAUAGGAAUUGCUACAGUAAUUCUAUCAGUGCCAUUCUUAUUAUAAAUUAGAAUUUAAACAAUUAUUCAACUAAUGAACUAAGGCAGAUCUUAUUGGGCUAGUCGGCAAUGUGUUGCUUUAGGUCGUGUGGAAUAGUUGCGGGAGUGAUCUUGCAUGAUGUGUGGAGCUAUAACAGUGCUGAGCAUGGGCCAAUCUAUGGGCUCAUGGAACUAGCGAACCUAAUCUAGAAUUUCGAGGAAGAGUACUCUGGUUAGUACUCUAAAUUACCUUAUUAUAUUUUGCACAAACAGAGGCAUGUUAGUGAAAUAAUAUCUAAGCAACCCAAGAGGGGGGUGAAUUGGGUUUCUAAAAUUAUGCAAUUCUUAACAAAACUUAAUGCAAAUCUUAAACGAAUUUAAAGCAAUAAUACAUAAAUCAACAAGGUAUAAAAAGAUAAGGGAAGAGAGAUUAAAACACAGAGAGUUUUACGUGGUUCGGCCAACCUUGCCUACAUCCACACCCCAAGCACACCGAGCUUGGGCAUUCCACUAGUCAAGCCUUCAAGGCUUCAAGAACACUUACAAUUGACUUCUUAGGUGUCAAUCAACCUUUACAUCUAGAGAUUAUCCCCAAUCUCUUAACCCAAGUGUAUCCCAAUAUUUACAAUCACUCAAAUAAAGAUUACAAUUUAUUUUUCUCUCACACAAUUUUUUAAGAUUACAAAUCAACGCUUAAUGUGUGAAUAAAUGAACAAGAAUGAAUUUGAAGCUCAAUGAAUGUUGUAUUCUCGAUUAUAAGCUCAAUGAUAACGUUGUGAUAAGCUCUUGUUUGAAUUUGAUUGAUCUUAUUUAUAGUUGGAGUUGAAAAAUAGCCAUUGUUGACUUUUUCCCGAAAUUGGAUCGCCGUUAACCGUUAUCGGUUAACCGUUUUGACUGGUCAAGUGACCGUUGAGCUGAAUUUCAAAAUAAACGGUUGAUCUUUUGACACUAUCGGUUUGCUGUUAAUUUCCAUAAACCUGUAAAACAAAUUUAUGCUAUUCGUUCUUGCUAAACGGUUGAAGGUCAGCAUGGAAUGACAUUCUAGAAAUUAUUGGUUGGCCGUUUGAAGUUCACGGUUCACCGUUUACUUCUAGAAUCACAGUUUUAACCAAAUUUCGCAGGGAAUGCUUUUUCGGUUAAAGUUAACGAUUAUCCAUAUUUCAUGAACACAUUUAGAAAAAUCAUACGACUUUUGAGAAAUUGUUUAGUAAUGAAAACUCUAACAUUUUAAUCAAAUACAUUUAAAGUUUGUUAUCAUCAAAAUCAAUAUAAUGAACAUCUACAUGUUAACAGUUAGGCCUUGAUUAUUUUUUAAAUCUUAUAAGAUAUAGAGUGAUAAUAGUAACUCAAUUUUCAUAAAACGUGGAAAGAUCAGUCGCCAAAUUUAUAGAUGCCAUAGAAAACCUAGAUUUAGUAAGGAAUAUCAAGUUAUUUAUACAAUGAAAUUGUUAAAACUCGAUUAAUUGCAAGGAAACACUUUUAGAGAGAUAUGGAGAGAAUAAACUUUGAAGAUAACAAUGAAAUACAUGACACAUUUAAGGAAGAAAAUAUAAUAGUAUUAAUAGAAUCUAUUUUAACCGGUCUUAAGAUAAUUCAGAUUGAUGCAAAAUAAAUAACAGGACUCUAAACCGUCCAUAAUAAGUCUAUUGAUUAAUAAUAACAAUAAUAGUGAUGUGAAAUUUUUAUUCAGAAUGCUCAAUUUAGAUUAUAAUAUCUAUGUGAAAGCAUUGAUGGCAUGUACCUUGGUUAGGAAAAUAGAUUGGACACAUGGAUAUAUAUGUUGGAAGAACAAAUCUAGUUUAUAUCUCAAGAGAGAUAAUAAAUUAUAAAUGACGGUGCUAUAGUAUAUUCAGAUUUUAUAAAUCUUUAUAAAUUUAAUAAUCAUUUAGAUCUUCAUAAUAUUAUAAUAAAACUUUAAAAAACUUUAAAAAUAUAUGUAGAAGAGAUGGAAGAAGAAAUCAUCCAAUUAUUCAAAAUCAAUUAAACAAAAAUAGAAGGUAAAAUCCUUGAAUUAUAUAAAUUAUACAAUUUCACAGAAAUUUUGCAUAUAUUGCGAAACGGUCCUUGUGGCACUAAUUAUGGGACUAGUGUAGCAUAAAUACUAAUAUUGCUUUUUAUUUUGUAAAUUAAUUGUUGCGUCAUAAUUUUUUUACAUACACAUUUUAUGUUUUAAAAUAUGAUUUUUUUUUUGUAUUUAGGGUUAAUUUUACAAUUUCAUACUUUGUUCAAUUAUAUGUACAGGUCCUUCACGUGUUGGUUGAUGUUGAAUAUUCAAAGAUCCACAAGCUAUCAACGACAACGAAUCAAAUUAAACUAAUUAGUUAAUACAUAAUGACUGGGUUGUUUCCUAUGUUGUUAAUGAUGUAGAACGUUAUUUUAGGAUUUUAGAAUUUUAAUUUUUAGGUCUUCUGAUAUUUUCUUUUUUAAUUAAAGUUAGUGUCUUAGUUUUUUAUUUAUUUAUGUUAUAAUUAUAAUUUACUUUCUCUUUUUAAGUUAACUUAGGAAAAUAUAUUUACUGUAUUAUAAAUAAAGAGAUCUUGUUAUUACUUUAUAACUUCAACUUCAGUUAUUCAAUUAAAAACCCCUCUUUUAUAAUUUCCUUUUGUAUUAUCUAUUAAAAACCCCUCUUUUAAGUUGUUUGAUUAGAGCAUCAUCUAGCCUUGCUUAACGCAGUAUAAAAAAUCCCUUUGAGUUUAAUCACACGUCGAUUAGAGCGUAACUUAAUCGCAUUGACUUGGUCCAUGACUUGAACGAUAUCUAGUGUUUUGCUUCCGCUAUGCCCAAGGAGAAAAUUAAUUUCACCGUGAGAUAAGAGCAUUAAAAGGAAUUCAUAAGAAAUUUAAAUUAAAGCUAUAUAUGUUAAAUAUAUCGCUAGCUACUUGUUUUUGGAGGAAUUAAAACAAUUAAUAAGCUGCGAAGUGAAAAUGAAUAAAUAAAUGAAAUGAGGUUGAAAAUAAGUCUCGCCGCCUGGAUCCAAGGCCAAAACAUUCAUGAUAAGUUAGGUAAUUAAGUACAUGUUUUCAAGCUCUUCAUGAAGAAUAACGUUAUUGAAAUAAAUCACAAAGACUCCCUGCGCAAAUUAUUACAUUGAUUAAAAAAAAAAGCCAUAUCUUUAACAGGAUCGUGACUCUCGGACUGUUAAUUACUUUAUUCCCUGCUUGGCCAACAGCUGGCCACUAAACAAAAUCAUAAAAAUUUUAAAUUUAGUCAAAUUGGUCCCACUUGAUGACAUCCUUUUCAUACAUAAAAUUGUUAACGUCAAGGUUAAAUAUGAGAAGUUUGGUAGAGAAGGUAAAAAGGAAGUCUAUAUAAGGAGGGGAACGAGCUUUGUUUUAUAGCACAAGUGAAACUCCACUUUAUUGAACGAUGGGGUCUCAAAUGGGCUGCCUCUUUGCCACUCUUUUGGUAGUAUCAGUCUCUCUUAGCUACUUGCCGUUAGAAGCCUCCGCAAACAAAUACUACUACACAUCUCCUCCCCCUCCCAAGUACAAGUCUCCACCACCACCCCCGCCACCGGUUCACAAUUCUCCACCACCACCCCCGGUUUACCUGCCCCCGCCACCUCCUCCACCAGUCUACGUGCCUGCUCCGGCACCAACUCCAAUUUUCCCUUCUCCGCCACCUCCUGUCCCCAAGUCCCCACCACCACCUCACCCUUACGUCUAUGCAUCUCCCCCUCCUCCUUACUACUACUAGAAAGCGGCCAUGAAUAGCUCAUGCUUUUAUGGUAAUCUCAUUUAUUUUUAAAACUGUACAUGUAAAGACUAGUAGUUCAGAAUUACAUUAAGCAUUUCAAUUUUAAGCACCGUGUUCUGUUUAAUUGCGUUCCUAUUGAUUAAGUGACAAAUAAAAGAGAUUGAUUAAUUUGUUCUUGUAGGAGAGGCGAAUGGUAUCCGAAUAAAGAAAGCAAGGGUUUGAUGGAAGGCUUACUUGGAGCAAGAUAGCGAUCAAUCGAGUUGCUGCGUUUUAUUCUCUUUUAUCUUUGUUUUUUAAGAAAAAUAAACUGCCACACGUAGAAACAGAAAAUUAAGUUCUUGUCAUUUUCAUGCAUAUGGAUUGUUGCUGUGUGUGUCAAUCAAAUCUCCGUUGUGUCAUUUGUAAUUUUCAACCUUUAUGCAUGCAAAUGCGAGACCUCUUACGUAUAAUAAAAUUAAUAUACUUCCCAAGAUGGUCUUAUCUUGCGUUGACUUUUUACGUUCCUUUGGUGAUGAUUUUGACGUUUGAAAUUGAUGACUAAUUGACUAUUGUUUUUGUAAACUCUGACAUGGAUUUUUCGUGCAACUACAGAGCGCAUUAACGAGAGACUUAUCCAUGAGGGUCCAUGCAGAUCAGUGUCUAAUUAACCAAUAAUUAAUAUAACUAAAAAAAUAUAGAGUUAACUAUUUUUAUGGGUCAGGCUCAAUUGCAGAUGUUCGUACAAAAUUUCUUGCUAAUGUAUACUUGAGUAUGAUAAUAAGUUUUAAUCAUUAUUAAUAAUUCACUUGAUAAUAUUAAACAAAUUUUCAUAUCAAUUAAGUUACAAAAUUUCUGUGACAAAUUUCCGCGUACUGGAACCAUGCAAAAGGGCUUUAUUCAAACAAAACUGCAUAGCCGUUGGCAAUUAAAAUUAUUUAUCAAUUAAGUUAAGUAGUAAGAAUUGGAUUGUGGAUUCCAUUAAUUAUUUCAAGGAAAAUUUUAUAGAUAAUGCCGUAAUGAAAUUUACGGCAUCAAUACCAUGAUAAAUAUAAAUAUUGUAAAUUACAAAUAGAAUUAGUAAAUGUAAAGUAAAACCAGUAAAUUCAUAAAAGAUUAUUAAUUAUUUAAAAAAUUAACAUUGUUUCUACAUAAUUUUAGUGAAAAAUAUUUUAUUCAUUUACAAAAACAUUUCUUUAAUUAAACAAAAAAAUUCAUUAAUUAAGCAAAAAAAAUUAUACUGAAAAAAAAGUGGAAUAAGUUUAAUUGAAUUGGUUAUCAUAAAUUCUAUAUUUAGUCUAGGACAUUUUUUAUACAUUUUCUUCCCAUUUUCGAUAAUGAUAUCUAUUUGUUACACAUGUUAAUUAAGUGCAAUUAUUUAUCUUGAUGUGGAUCAAGUAAAAAAAUAUCAUAAAUAAGAUAUCAAUAAAAUUAGAUCUAAUUUUGAAUAUUAUGUAUACUUUAUGUAGUUUCAAACUUUUUACUUGUAUUUGGAGACCAUUUAAGGUUGUUGUUGAAGAAGUGUAGAAAGAUGUAAAAUAACUUCAUCUUACAACAACUAUGAAAGAUAUUAAAAUAAUAAUUUUUUUCAAAAUCCGAUUUUGAGAAAAAAAUUCAUCCUUAAUUAAACAUCACAUGUAUUAUAGAAAUGCAAAACUACCAUUGUUAUAUUUAACUUAAAAAAUAAUAAAUAUAUAAGGUAAUAAACAUUAUAAAGAGUUUUUAUUUUAAAAUUGUAAACUUUUGUUCUGACAAUAACUCUUAUAUUAAUUUAUUUAUUUUGCCUUUUAUUCAUAAGUUUUAUGCAUAAUUUACAAACUUUAAGUUUUAUUUUGCAUUUUAUGUUGAUUUGGUUUUUUUAUAUUAUACGUACAAGUUUUCUUUUUAUUUACCAGUAAUACAUCAAUUUAUCAGCUUGAUAGUAAUUUACUUAUUUUACCUUCCUUUUACAAUUCUUAUGUUUCAUUUCCAAAAUUUAUGUUUUAUUUUACAGUUGUUGAUGAUUUACUAGUUUUAUGUUAUGUUUGCAAGUUUUUGUUUUGUUUACUAGUAAUAGAUUAAUGGGUAAUUUUUAAUUGAGUCCUCAUUAGUUCUAGAAAAACAAUUCAGAGACCAGAAGUUUACUAAAUGAAUCAAUUAAAUUCUUUCAAGUACAAACUAAUGUCAUUCAAGUCCUUAACUUAAUUGGUCAGUUAAAAAUAUUAACAACGUUGAGGACAUUUUAGUAAAACAACAAUUGAGUCGUUUCUCAUUCUUUAUUUUUGACAGGUGGAAAUAGUUUAAAGUAAACUCACUUAACCUGAUUAAGUUAAGGAUCAGUUCUUUCAAAUGAAAAAAAAAAAAAAAACCUACAGAAACUGCCAUAUUCUUCGUGUGGGAGGAGAGAUCGAGAGAACGUGGGAUGGUGCAAAAAAUGUUGUAUAAAUCUACUGUGAUUUUGACCAAAGCUUUGGUAGCAUUGAUUGAGUUCAAGUACUGGAGAGAACCUGAGUUUAAAGGUUAGUAACUCUAUUUUUUUAGUGAUUUCUGCAAGCAUUUUCUGAUAAAAAAUUUUCCGUAUUGAGUGAUCGUUGUGAAAAAUUAAGUUUUUCAAGUCUAUUUUACAAAAUGACAAACUAUGUUUAAUUAUUGGUGGAUUCUUUUUUUGUUCAAUGUUGUAUUUUGUUAAUUUGUUGUUUUUAAUUUGCUCUUAAUGUAAUUGUUAGACCAAAUACACCAUUAUUAUACCUGUAUUCAUUUCAACAAUUUGGUAUCGUUAUAUUAAUAAGAUUGAAUUCAUUGUAUUUGCUUCUUUGUUCAUGUAAAAUUGAAUUCUAUGUAUUCUUAUGAGUGAUAAUUUUUCUAUCUAUUAGACUAAAUUCACUAUAUUCACUACUUUCUUUCUUUUUGCUGGGCUAUUUUUUCUUUUUAGUUUAUAUUUUUUAUAUGUAUUAGAUUGAAUUUGCUUUUGUACGUUUUUUUAGCCGAAUUACAUGUAUAUUUCAUUUAGGUUGAGUUUUUUUUGUUGUUUGCUAAAUAAAAUUAUAUUGGUUUAUCCCUUUUUAUGCAAUACUUUUUGUUUAAAAUUAAUACAGUUAGCCAUGUUACCUUUUUUUUCGGUUAAAAUUAAUGGGGUGAUGUAGGCGAUAGGAUAUAGGGAACCAGAGGAAUAUAAGAUUAUUAGGCUGUUUCUUGAAAUUCAAGAUGUCAUGGUUAAGCAUGGACACAGUGAAAUGGAUUUGAUUGAAAUUUUUGUUGUAUUGCCAUGGACUACAAGUGGCCAGAGGAAGCUAAUUUCAAACGAUAGUGAAUUGUAUUGGGUUUUCGAGGAGUUUUUUUUAAUCAAUAGUUGUCCUGUCAUUGAGUUUGAGGUGCACACUGGGUCAGGUGGUCAGUCAUUUCAUGAAAGUGUUGUAAUAGGACCUGAAAAUCCUGUCAAUAUUAAAAAUUAGUGUUGUAAUAGUGAUAAGUUUGAAAAUGUUGUGGCUAAAAAGGUCUGCCUAGAAUAAUUGGUACUUCUUUAUUUGCCUCAAAGUCCAACACUAUGAAAUCCACAAGGAAAAAGAAUUUAUCCACUUUAACCAGCACGUCUUCAAUCUUGCCUUCAGGAUAAGCAUGAGAUCUGGCAGCACAUUGCAAUGUCACUGUGGUUGGUUUGACUUCUCCAACUCCCAAUUGCUUGAAUUCUGAUAAUGUCAUAAGAUUGAUGCUUGCUCCCAAACCACAAAGUGUCUUGCCACUGUAUUUAGUUCCUAUGGAACAAUGAAUUGUGAAACUUCCUGGAUCCUUCAACUUCUGAGGCAUUUUACUCUGAAGCAUAUGGCUGCAUUCUUGUGUUAGACCAACUAUUUCAAAUUCUCCGAGCCUCAUUUUCCUUGCCAAUAUACAUUUCCAAAACUUUACAUAAUUUGGCAUUUGUUCUAAUGCUUCCACAAAAGAAAUGUUGAUAUGCAGUUCUUUCCAUACUUCCAAGAAUUUACUGAACUGCAUGUCUUGCUUUCGCUUUUGAAAUCUUUGUGGGAAGGGUGGUGGAUGUGUAAAUUGUUGUACUGCAGCAGACUAUACAUAUUGCUUUUCUCUUGCUCUAUUAUGGUAUGUUAUUAUUGGUGUUGCAGCUUCUUCCUCAACAAGCAUUGAAUCAUGUUUUUUUGCAGUUGCUAUAACUUAGCAACUCUCACCAGUGUGCUGGAAAAUGGGUUGUUGUGUCUCUUCUUUAAUUUGAGUUUCCCCUUGGGUUGAAUUAGGUUCCACUCUUCUUUUUGGUACUUUAACAAGUAUAUGAACAUCCUUUCCAAACCUUAAGUUAAUCCCCUUACAAUGCUCUUUUCCUUCUCUCUUUCGAUCCUCUGUAUUGUUUAGUAAAUUGUCCUGAGGUAUGUUGCUCAAUUUUGUAGCAAGCUGUCCAAUCUUAUUCUCCAAGUUUCUUAAAAAUACAGCUUGGCUUUAGACCACUACUCCAAUCUUUACAAUAUACUCCUUAAUCAGAGUUUCAAUGGAACUAAAUUGAUCAUUACUGGUGUUUCUUUACCCUUCAAAUUUCUGGUGAAAAUCAGGUGGCUGAGCAAGUCAGUUCUGUCCACUGGAUGCUGCAGCAUGCUGAUUCUGAUUGCUCCUUUUAAAAUUUGGGUGAUGUCUCCAUCCUAGGUUAUAGGUGUUUGAAAAUGGAUUGCUUUGAUUUUGUUUAUUAAAAUUGCCCACAUAAUUGACGGAAGCUGAAUUCCUAGGACAAUUAUGAUAUAGAUGUCCCUCUCCAUAAUAAACACAAGAGACUUCAGCAAUUUGGUUAACUGUUGCCGGAGCAGUGGCCGUUGCUUUUACCAUAUUUUGUCAAUGAGGUUACUUGGGCUGAUAAUGUUGUCAGUGCAUCCACAUUGUGUACUCCUGCUGCUCCUCUCACUGUGGCUUGUCUAGUUGAUGGCCAUUGAUAGUUAUCCUUUCUAAAAUUUCAUAAGCCUCAUUAUAUGAGUUAGACAAUAAAGCCCCUAGUUAUUGAGUUCAACCCAUUGUAGAAAGUUUCCAAUUGUAUGCAAUAAGGAAUACCAUGAUGAGGGCAUCUCCUGAGUAACCCCUUGAAUCUUUCUCAUGCAUCAUACAAGCUUUCAUCUUCAAGUUGAUGGAAAGAUGUGAUCUCAUUCUUCAACUUUGCAUUCUUUGUUGGUGGGAAAUAUUUCAUCAAAAGUUUGUCAGCCAAAUAAUUCCAUGUGGUGAUGGAGUCUGGUUGCAAAGAACUCCACUGUACCAACUAAAAUUGAUUUCACAAAACACAAUAAGCACCAAUCCCCGGCAACGGCGCAAAAAACUUGUUGUCGAUUUUCUAAUGCUAUUAGUGUCAAUGUGAAAAUGUACACAACAAGUAAUAUAACGAUAAGUAUUCACUCCACAAGGAUUAUUAUUAUAGGAAUUGCUACAGUAAUUCUAUCAGUGCCAUUCUUAUUAUAAAUUAGAAUUUAAACAAAAUUAUUCAACUAAUGAACUAAGUCAGAUCUUAUUGGGGCUAGUCGGCAAUGUGUUGCUUUAGGUCGUGUGGAAUAGUUGCGGGAGUGAUCUUGCAUGAUGUGUGGAGCUAUAACAGUGCUGAGCAUGGGCCAAUCUAUGGGCUCAUGGAACUAGCGAACCUAAUCUAGAAUUUCGAGGAAGAGUACUCUGGUUAGUACUCUAAUUACCUUAUUAUAUUUUGCACAAACAGAGGCAUGUUAGUGAAAUAAUAUCUAAGCAACCCAAGAGGGGGGUGAAUUGGGUUUCUAAAAAUUAUGCAAUUCUUAAACAAAACUUAAUGCAAAUCUUAAACGAAUUUAAAGCAAUAAUACAUAAAUCAACCAAGGUAUAAAAGAUAAGGGAAGAGAGAUUAAAACACAGAGAGUUUUACGUGGUUCGGCCAACCUUGCCUACAUCCACACCCCCAAGCACACCGAGCUUGGGCAUUCCACUAGUCAAGCCUUCAAGGCUUCAAGAACACUUACAAAUUGACUUCUUAGGUGUCAAUCAACCUUUACAUCUAGAGAUUAUCCCCAAUCUCUUAACCCAAGUGUAUCCCAAUAUUUACAAUCACUCAAAAUAAAGAUUACAAAUUUAUUUUUUCUCUCACACAAUUUUUUAAGAUUACAAAUCAACGCUUAAUGUGUGAAUAAAUGAACAAGAAUGAAUUUGAAGCUCAAUGAAUGUUGUAUUCUCGAUUAUAAGCUCAAUGAUAACGUUGUGAUAAGCUCUUGUUUUGAAUUUGAUUGAUCUUAUUUAUAGUUGGAGUUGAAAAAUAGCCAUUGUUGACUUUUUCCCGAAAUUGGAUCGCCGUUAACCGUUAUCGGUUAACCGUUUUGACUGGUCCAAGUGACCGUUGAGCUGAAUUUCAAAUAAACGGUUGAUCUUUUGACACUAUCGGUUUGCUGUUAAUUUCCAUAACCUGUAAAACAAAUUUAUGCUAUUCGUUCUUGCUAAACGGUUGAAGGUCAGCAUGGAAUGACAUUCUAGAAAUUAUUGGUUGGCCGUUUGAAGUUCACGGUUCACCGUUUACUUCUAGAAUCACAGUUUUAACCAAAUUUCGCAGGGAAUGCUUUUUCGGUUAAAGUUAACGAUUAUCCAUAUUUCAUGAACACAUUUAGAAAAAUCAUACGACUUUUGAGAAAUUGUUUAGUAAUGAAAACUCUAACAUUUUAAUCAAAUACAUUUAAAGUUUGUUAUCAUCAAAAUCAAUAUAAUGAACAUCUACAUGUUAACAGUUAGGCCUUGAUUAUUUUUUAAAUCUUAUAAGAUAUAGAGUGAUAAUAGUAACUCAUUUUCAUAAAACGUGGAAGAUCAGUCGCCAAAUUUAUAGAUGCCAUAGAAAAUCUAGAUUUUAGUAAGGAAUAUCAAGUUAUUUAUACAAUGAAAAUUGUUAAAACUCGAUUAAUUGCAAGGAAACACUUUUAGAGAGAUAUGGAGAGAAUAAACUUUGAAGAUAACAAUGAAAUACAUGAACACAUUUAAGGAAGAAAAUAUAAUAGUAUUAAUAGAAUCUAUUUUAACCGGUCUUAAGAUAAUUCAAGAUUGAUGCAAAAUAAAUAACAGGACUCUAAAACCGUCCAUAAUAAGUCUAUUGAUUAAUAAUAACAAUAAUAGUGAUGUGAAAUUUUUUAUUCAGAAUGCUCAAUUUAGAUUAUAAUAUCUAUGUGAAAGCAUUGAUGCAUGUACCUUGGUUAGGAAAUAGAUUGGACACAUGGAUAUAUAUGUUGGAAGAACAAAUCUAGUUUAUAUCUCAAGAGAGAUAAUAAAUUAUAAAUGACGGUGCUAUAGUAUAUUCAGAUUUUAUAAAUCUUUAUAAAUUUAAUAAUCAUUUAGAUCUUCAUAUAUUAUAAUAAAAACUUUAAAAAACUUUAAAAAUAUAUGUAGAAGAGAUGGAAGAAGAAAUCAUCCAAUUAUUCAAAAUCAAUUAAACAAAAAUAGAAGGUAAAAUCCUUGAAUUAUAUAAAUUAUACAAUUUCACAGAAAUUUUGCAUAUAUUGCGAAACGGUCCUUGUGCACUAAUUAUGGGACUAGUGUAGCAUAAAUACUAAUAUUGCUUUUUAUUUUUGUAAAUUAAUUGUUGCGUCAUAAUUUUUUACAUACACAUUUUAUGUUUUAAAAUAUGAUUUUUUUUUUGUAUUUAGGGUUAAUUUUACAAUUUCAUACUUUGUUCAAUUAUAUGUACAGGUCCUUCACGUGUUGGUUGAUGUUGAAUAUUCAAAGAUCCACAAGCUAUCAACGACAACGAAUCAAAUUAAACUAAUUAGUUAAUACAUAAUGACCUGGGUUGUUUCCUAUGUUGUUAAUGAUGUAGAACGUUAUUUUAGGAUUUUAGAAUUUUAAUUUUUAGGUCUUCUGAUAUUUUCUUUUUUAAUUAAAGUUAGUGUUUAGUUUUUUAUUUAUUUAUGUUAUAAUUAUAAUUUACUUUCUCUUUUUAAGUUAACUUAGGAAAUAUAUUUACUGUAUUAUAAAUAAAGAGAUCUUGUUAUUACUUUAUAACUUCAACUUCAGUUAUUCAAUUAAAAACCCUCUUUUAUAAUUUCCUUUUGUAUUAUCUAUUAAAAACCCCUCUUUUUAAAGUUGUUUGAUUAGAGCAUCAUCUAGCCUUGCUUAAAGCAGUAUAAAAAAUCCCUUUGAGUUUAAUCACACGUCGAUUAGAGCGUAACUUAAUCGCAUUGACUUGGUCCAUGACUUGAACGAUAUCUAGUGUUUUGCUUCCGCUAUGCCCAAGGAGAAAAUUAAUUUUCACCGUGAGAUAAGAGCAUUAAAGGAAUUCAUAAGAAAUUUAAUUAAAGCUAUAUAUGUUAAAUAUAUCGCUAGCUACUUGUUUUUGGAGGAAUUAAAACAAUUAAUAAGCUGCGAAGUGAAAAUGAAUAAAUAAAUGAAAUGAGGUUGAAAAUAAGUCUCGCCGCCUGGAUCCAAGGCCAAAACAUUCAUGAUAAGUUAGGUAAUUAAGUACAUGUUUCAAGCUCUUCAUGAAGAAUAACGUUAUUGAAAUAAAUCACAAAGACUCCCUGCGCAAAUUAUUACAUUGAUUAAAAAAAAAAGCCAUAUCUUUAACAGGAUCGUGACUCUCGGACUGUUAAUUACUUUAUUCCUGCUUGGCCAACAGCUGGCCACUAAACAAAAUCAUAAAAAUUUUUAAAUUUAGUCAAAUUGGUCCACUUGAUGACAUCCUUUUCAUACAUAAAAUUGUUAACGUCAAGGUUAAAUAUAGAAGUUUGGUAGAGAAGGUAAAAAGAAGUCUAUAUAAGGAGGGGAACGAGCUUUGUUAUAGCACAAGUGAAACUCCACUUUAUUGAACGAUGGGGUCUCAAAUGGGCUGCCUCUUUGCCACUCUUUGGUAGUAUCAGUCUCUCUUAGCUACUUGCCGUUAGAAGCCUCCGCAAACAAAUACUACUACACAUCUCCUCCCCCUCCAAGUACAAGUCUCCACCACCACCCCCGCCACCGGUUCACAAUUCUCACCACCACCCCCGUUUUACCUGCCCCCCGCCACCUCCUCCACCAGUCUACGUGCCUGCUCCGGCACCAACUCCAAUUUUCCCUUCUCCCACCUCCUGUCCCCAAGUCCCCACCACCACCUCACCCUUACGUCUAUGCAUCUCCCCUCCUCCUUACUACUACUAGAAAGCGGCCAUGAAUAGCUCAUGCUUUUAUGG